CAUUUGUUCCUUAAAUAGGGACUUGUAUGAAUGGCCACACGAGGGUUUAACUGUCUCUUACUUCCAAUCCGUGAAAUUGACCUUCCCGUGAAGAGGCGGGAAUAUCAUAAUAAGACGAGAAGACCCUAUGGAGCUUUAAUUAAUUAGCCCAAACCCAUGAAAUCCAAACCCCUCCGGGAAUAACUUACUAUCAUCGUUAUGGGCUAACAAUUUAGGUUGGGGUGACCUCGGAAUAUAAAAAAACUCCCGAGUGAUUAAAAUUUAGACCUACCAGUCAAAAUGUAUCAUCACUUAUUGAUCCAAUAAUCAUUGAUCAACGGAACAAGUUACCCUAGGGAUAACAGCGCAAUCCUAUUUAAGAGUUCAUAUCGACAAUAGGGUUUACGACCUCGAUGUUGGAUCAGGACAUCCUAAUGGUGCAGCAGCUAUUAAGGGUUCGUUUGUUCAACGAUUAAAGUCCU
rnacentral:rRNA from 1 species